AUACGGAGGGUACAAGCGUUGUUCGGAAUUAUUGGGCGUAAAGCGCAUGUAGGCGGUCUGUUAAGUCUGGUGUGAAAGCCCUGGGCUCAACCCAGGAAGUGCAUUGGAUACUGGCAGACUUGAGUAUGGGAGAGGAAAGCGGAAUUCCGAGUGUAGGAGUGAAAUCCGUAGAUAUUCGGAGGAACACCAGUGGCGAAGGCGGCUUUCUGGACCAAUACUGACGCUGAGACGCGAAAGCGUGGGGAGCAAACAGGAUUAGAAACCCCGGUAGUCC
rnacentral:rRNA from 1 species